CGCCCUUCAGAGGGGGACAACAGUUGGAAACGACUGCUAAUACCGCAUACGAUCUAAUCUCGGCAUCGAGGAUGGAUGAAAGGUGGCCUCUACAUGUAAGCUAUCACUGAAGGAGGGGAUUGCGUCUGAUUAGCUAGUUGGAGGGGUAACGGCCCACCAAGGCGAUGAUCAGUAGCCGGUCUGAGGGGAUGAACGGCCACAUUGGGACUGAGACACGGCCCAG
rnacentral:rRNA from 1 species